AUUGAACGCUGGCGGCAUGCCUUACACAUGCAAGUCGAACGGUAACGGGCCUUCGGGUGCCGACGAGUGGCGAACGGUUGAGUAAUACAUCGGAACGUGCCCGAUCGUGGGGGAUAACGAGGCGAAAGCUUUGCUAAUACCGCAUACGAUCUACGGAUGAAAGCAGGGGACCGCAAGGCCUUGCGCGGACGGAGCGGCCGAUGGCCGAUUAGGUCGUUGGUGGGAUAAAAGCUUACCAAGCCGACGAUCUGUAGCUGGUAUGAGAGGAUGAUCAGCCACACUGGGACUGAGACACGGCCCAGACUCCUACGGGAGGCAGCAGUGGGGAAUUUUGGACAAUGGGCGCAAGCCUGAUCCAGCCAUGCCGCGUGCAGGAUGAAGGCCUUCGGGUUGUAAACUGCUUUUGUACGGAACGAAAAGCCUUCUUUUAAUACAGGAGGGUCAUGACGGUACCGUAAGAAUAGGCACCGGCUAACUACGUG
rnacentral:rRNA from 1 species